rnacentral:rRNA from 1 species
CCGUACACAAAAGCGCAUGUGCUGUGAGCUCGAUGAGUAGGGCGGGACACGUGGUAUCCUGUCUGAAUAUGGGGGGACCAUCCUCCAAGGCUAAAUACUCCUGACUGACCGAUAGUGAACCAGUACCGUGAGGGAAAGGCGAAAAGAACCCCGGCGAGGGGAGUGAAAAAGAACCUGAAACCGUGUACGUACAAGCAGUGGGAGCACAGGUUUACCUGUGUGACUGCGUACCUUUUGUAUAAUGGGUCAGCGACUUAUAUUCUGUAGCAAGGUUAACCGAAUAGGGGAGCCGGAGGGAAACCGAGUCUUAAUUGGGCGUUAAGUUGCAGGGUAUAGACCCGAAACCCGGUGAUCUAGCCAUGGGCAGGUUGAAGGUUGGGUAACACUAACUGGAGGACCGAACCGACUAAUGUUGAAAAAUUAGCGGAUGACCUGUGGCUGGGGGUGAAAGGCCAAUCAAACCGGGAGAUAGCUGGUUCUCCCCGAAAGCUAUUUAGGUAGCGCCUCGUGAAUUCAUCUCCGGGGGUAGAGCACUGUUUCGGCUAGGGGGCCAUCCCGGCUUACCAACCCGAUGCAAACUGCGAAUACCGGAGAAUGUUAUCACGGGAGACACACGGCGGGUGCUAACGUCCGUCGUGAAGAGGGAAACAACCCAGACCGCCAGCUAAGGUCCCAAAGUCAUGGUUAAGUGGGAAACGAUGUGGGAAGGCCCAGACAGCCAGGAUGUUGGCUUAGAAGCAGCCAUCAUUUAAAGAAAGCGUAAUAGCUCACUGGUCGAGUCGGCCUGCGCGGAAGAUGUAACGGGGCUAAACCAUGCACCGAAGCUGCGGCAGCGAACGUAUCACCCAAGACAACUUUACGGAGUUGACGAUUGACGGAGCGAAGCGACGUCAAAGCGUUCAUUAAAGUCGAGUUGGCUUAGGGAUACGUUCGUUGGGUAGGGGAGCGUUCUGUAAGCCUGUGAAGGUGUGUCGUGAGGCAUGCUGGAGGUAUCAGAAGUGCGAAUGCUGACAUAAGUAACGAUAAAGCGGGUGAAAAGCCCGCUCGCCGGAAGACCAAGGGUUCCUGUCCAACGUUAAUCGGGGCAGGGUGAGUCGACCCCUAAGGCGAGGCCGAAAGGCGUAGUCGAUGGGAAACGGGUUAAUAUUCCCGUACUUGGUGUUACUGCGAAGGGGGGACGGAGAAGGCUAUGUUGGCCGGGCGACGGUUGUCCCGGUUUAAGCGUGUAGGUGUGUGUUCCAGGUAAAUCCGGUUCACUUUAACACUGAGGCGUGACGACGAGGCACUACGGUGCUGAAGCAACAAAUGCCCUGCUUCCAGGAAAAGCCUCUAAGCAUCAGGUAACACGAAAUCGUACCCCAAACCGACA